CAGAGUUUGAUCCUGGCUCAGGACGAACGCUGGCGGCGUGCCUAACACAUGCAAGUCGAGCGAUGAAGCCCUUCGGGGUGGAUUAGCGGCGGACGGGUGAGUAACACGUGGGUAACCUGCCUUGUAGAGGGGGAUAGCCUUCCGAAAGGAAGAUUAAUACCGCAUAACAUCUUUUUAUCGCAUGGUAGAAAGAUCAAAGGAGCAAUCCGCUACAAGAUGGACCCGCGGCGCAUUAGCUAGUUGGUGAGGUAACGGCUCACCAAGGCGACGAUGCGUAGCCGACCUGAGAGGGUGAUCGGCCACAUUGGAACUGAGACACGGUCCAGACUCCUACGGGAGGCAGCAGUGGGGAAUAUUGCGCAAUGGGGGAAACCCUGACGCAGCAACGCCGCGUGAAUGAAGAAGGCCUUAGGGUUGUAAAGUUCUGUUUACGGGGACGAUAAUGACGGUACCCGUGGAGGAAGCCACGGCUAACUACGUGCCAGCAGCCGCGGUAAUACGUAGGUGGCAAGCGUUGUCCGGAUUUACUGGGCGUAAAGGAUGCGUAGGCGGAUGAUUAAGUGAGAUGUGAAAUACCCGGGCUCAACUUGGGUGCUGCAUUUCAAACUGGUCACCUAGAGGUGCGGGAGAGGAAAGCGGAAUUCCUAGUGUAGCGGUGAAAUGCGUAGAGAUUAGGAAGAACACCAGUGGCGAAAGGCGGCUUUCUGGACCGUAACUGACGCUGAGGCGUGAAAGCGUGGGGAGCAAACAGGAUUAGAUACCCUGGUAGUCCACGCCGUAAAACGAUGAAUACUAGGUGUAGGAGG
rnacentral:rRNA from 1 species